rnacentral:tRNA from 1 species
GACUGGGUAGCUCAGCGGGUAGAGCGCUAGGUUGAAGACCUAGGCGUCGGGGGUUCGAUUCCCUCUCCAGUCA